AGAACGAACGCUGGCGGCAUGCCUAACACAUGCAAGUCGAACGAGACCGCUGACUUCGGUUGGCGCGUCUAGUGGCGCACGGGUGCGUAACGCGUGGGAAUCUGCCCUUGGGUACGGAAUAACAGUUAGAAAUGACUGCUAAUACCGUAUAAUGACUUCGGUCCAAAGAUUUAUCGCCCAGGGAUGAGCCCGCGUAGGAUUAGCUUGUUGGUGAGGUAAAAGCUCACCAAGGCGACGAUCCUUAGCUGGUCUGAGAGGAUGAUCAGCCACACUGGGACUGAGACACGGCCCAGACUCCUACGGGAGGCAGCAGUGGGGAAUAUUGGACAAUGGGCGAAAGCCUGAUCCAGCAAUGCCGCGUGAGUGAUGAAGGCCUUAGGUUGUAAAGCUCUUUGCCCGGGAUGAUAAUGACAGUACCGGAGAUAAGCUCCGGCUAACUCCGUGCCAGCAGCCGC
rnacentral:rRNA from 1 species